rnacentral:rRNA from 1 species
AGAGUUUGAUCCUGGCUCAGGACGAACGCUGGCGGCGUGCCUAAUACAUGCAAGUCGAGCGGAUCACUUCGGUGAUCAGCGGCGGACGGGUGAGUAACACGUGGGCAACCUGCCUGUAAGACUGGGAUAACUUCGGGAAACCGGAGCUAAUACCGGAUAAUCCUUUCCCUCACAUGAGGGGAAGCUGAAAGACGGUUUCGGCUGUCACUUACAGAUGGGCCCGCGGCGCAUUAGCUAGUUGGUGAGGUAACGGCUCACCAAGGCGACGAUGCGUAGCCGACCUGAGAGGGUGAUCGGCCACACUGGGACUGAGACACGGCCCAGACUCCUACGGGAGGCAGCAGUAGGGAAUCUUCCGCAAUGGACGAAAGUCUGACGGAGCAACGCCGCGUGAGCGAUGAAGGCCUUCGGGUCGUAAAGCUCUGUUGUUAGGGAAGAACAAGUAUCGGAGUAACUGCCGGUACCUUGACGGUACCUAACCAGAAAGCCACGGCUAACUACGUGCCAGCAGCCGCGGUAAUACGUAGGUGGCAAGCGUUGUCCGGAAUUAUUGGGCGUAAAGCGCGCGCAGGCGGUCCUUUAAGUCUGAUGUGAAAGCCCACGGCUCAACCGUGGAGGGUCAUUGGAAACUGGGGGACUUGAGUACAGAAGAGGAAAGUGGAAUUCCACGUGUAGCGGUGAAAUGCGUAGAGAUGUGGAGGAACACCAGUGGCGAAGGCGACUUUCUGGUCUGUAACUGACGCUGAGGCGCGAAAGCGUGGGGAGCAAACAGGAUUAGAUACCCUGGUAGUCCACGCCGUAAACGAUGAGUGCUAAGUGUUAGAGGGUUUCCGCCCUUUAGUGCUGCAGCCAACGCAUUAAGCACUCCGCCUGGGGAGUACGGCCGCAAGGCUGAAACUCAAAGGAAUUGACGG